rnacentral:lncRNA from 1 species
UUCCCUUCUUUUUUCUUCUUCUCUCUUUCUCCUAUAGUGGUCCGCCAUCAGCUUGGUAUCAGAGCAAGAGCUUUGCCUUUGUCCCCAAAGCUCCUCCAUCUUGCGGCCCUAUAGCUGGUGCUAUUACGCCGGUCACCGGAUCUUCACCGUCUCUUGGGCUGUGCCCACAAACCCAUCCCCGUCCCCGCCAUCUUCCACCCCCUGUUCUCUCUCUCGGUUCUCACCAAAAAAAUCAAAGGGGAUAAAAGCCCCUUCAUCAGCUCGUCCCACCCGUCAUCGCACCCGCGACCACCACUGCCACCCGCUGCCACGCCACCGGCGGCUCUUCCGCACCCUCCCUGAUGUGGAAUCCCUCUCCCAGAAGUUGAGUCCGUAGCCGUUCGAGGAUCAAGCGCCUUAGGAAAAAAAAGGUGCCUGUUCAUCUGCUC